rnacentral:rRNA from 1 species
GGGGACUCGAGCUAACUCCCAACCCAAUGUGACCAUACCAAACUGUUGCCUCGGCGGGGUCACGCCCCGGGUGCGUCGCAGCCCCGGAACCAGGCGCCCGCCGGAGGGACCAACCAAACUCUUUUCUGUAGUCCCCUCGCGGACGUUAUUUCUUACAGCUCUGAGCAAAAAUUCAAAAUGAAUCAAAACUUUCAACAACGGAUCUCUUGGUUCUGGCAUCGAUGAAGAACGCAGCGAAAUGCGAUAAGUAAUGUGAAUUGCAGAAUUCAGUGAAUCAUCGAAUCUUUGAACGCACAUUGCGCCCGCCAGUAUUCUGGCGGGCAUGCCUGUCCGAGCGUCAUUUCAACCCUCGAACCCCUCCGGGGGGUCGGCGUUGGGGACCUCGGGAGCCCCUAAGACGGGAUCCCGGCCCCGAAAUACAGUGGCGGUCUCGCCGCAGCCUCUCCUGCGCAGUAGUUUGCACAACUCGCACCGGGAGCGCGGCGCGUCCACGUCCGUAAAACACCCAACUUCUGAAAUGUUGACCUCGGAUCAGGUAGGAAUACCCGCUGAACUUAAGCAUAUAA